AAAGCGUGCGCAGGCGGUUAUGUAAGACAGAUGUGAAAUCCCCGGGCUCAACCUGGGAACUGCAUUUGUGACUGCAUGGCUAGAGUACGGUAGAGGGGGAUGGAAUUCCGCGUGUAGCAGUGAAAUGCGUAGAUAUGCGGAGGAACACCGAUGGCGAAGGCAAUCCCCUGGGCCUGUACUGACGCUCAUGCACGAAAGCGUGGGGAGCAAACAGGAUUAGAUACCCUAGU
rnacentral:rRNA from 1 species